rnacentral:piRNA from 1 species
CCGGGAAGUGUGGAAACAGGCCUG